CAGAGUAUGAGGCCCUGACAGUACCUAGGUAAGGACUACUAGCCAGUCAGAAGCAGAGUAUGAGGGCGGGCCCUGACAGUACCUAGGUAGGACUAUAGCCAGUCAGGAGCAGAGUAUGAGGG